rnacentral:rRNA from 1 species
UACGAAGGGGGCUAGCGUUGCUCGGAUUUACUGGGCGUAAAGGGAGCGUAGGCGGGACGACAAGUUGGGGGUGAAAGCCCGGGGCUCAACCUCGGAAUUGCCUUCAAGACUGUCGACCUGGAGUUUGGGAGAGGUGAGUGGAACUCCGAGUGUAGAGGUGAAAUUCGUAGAUAUUCGGAAGAACACCAGUGGCGAAGGCGACUCACUGGCCCAAUACUGACGCUGAGGCUCGAAAGCGUGGGGAGCAAACAGG